AAUGGGGGAUAACGUAGCGAAAGUUACGCUAAUACCGCAUAUGCCCUGAGGGGGAAAGUGGGGGAUCGCAAGACCUCACGUUUUCGGAGCGGCCGAUAUCGGAUUAGCUAGUAGGUUGGGUAAAGGCUGACCUAGGCGACGAUCCGUAGCUGGUCUGAGAGGACGACCAGCCACACUGGGACUGAGACACGGCCCAGACUCCUACGGGAGGCAGCAGUGGGGAAUUUUGGACAAUGGGGGCAACCCUGAUCCAGCCAUGCCGCGUGAGUGAAGAAGGCCUUCGGGUUGCAAAGCUCUUUCGGACAGAAAGAAAUCGCCAUUCCUAAUACGAGUGGUGGAUGACGGUACUGUAAGAAGAAGCACCGGCUAACUACGUGCCAGCAGCCGCGGUAAUACGUAGGGUGCGAGCGUUAAUCGGAAUUACUGGGCGUAAAGCGUGCGCAGGCGGUUUCGUAAGACAGACGUGAAAUCCCCGGGCUUAACCUGGGAACUGCGUUUGUGACUGCGAGGCUAGAGUGUAGCAGAGGGGGGUAGAAUUCCA
rnacentral:rRNA from 1 species